GAUGAACGCUGGCGGCGUGCUUAACACAUGCAAGUCGAACGGAAAGGCCGAAGCUUGCUUCGGUACUCGAGUGGCGAACGGGUGAGUAACACGUGGGUGAUCUGCCCUGUACUUCGGGAUAAGCUUGGGAAACUGGGUCUAAUACCGGAUAUGACGAUCUCUUGGAUGGGGUUGUGGAAAGCUUUUGCGGUAUGGGAUGAGCUCGCGGCCUAUCAGCUUGUUGGUGGGGUAAUGGCCUACCAAGGCGUCGACGGGUAGCCGGCCUGAGAGGGUGUACGGCCACAUUGGGACUGAGAUACGGCCCAGACUCCUACGGGAGGCAGCAGUGGGGAAUAUUGCACAAUGGGCGCAAGCCUGAUGCAACGACGCCGCGUGGGGGAUGACGGCCUUCGGGUUGUAAACUCCUUUCGCAAUCGACGAAGCCUUUUGGUGACGGUAGGUUGAGAAGAAGCACCGGCUAACUACGUG
rnacentral:rRNA from 1 species